AUGGGAGUCUUGCCAUGGAACUGCCGCUGCGGACUCAACCCCACCCCCAGCAAGAACAGGGGUGCGCCCGCGCGUCCUCCUCCUCCUGCUGCCCGAGGCAGGAGAUCCAAAUACACGGGACAAUCUGUGAGAGCAAUGCCUAUGCGCGUGCUGACAGUCGGCAAGAAGAGGUCUCAGGGGACACAACUUCUUGUUGAAGAGUACAAAGAGAAGCUCGGUCACUACUGCGACGUUGAGGACACCCUUAUCAAGUCCAACCCAAAACUUACAAGCGAUGUUAAGGUGCAAAUUGAAGCAGAAGACGCGUCUAUGAUGCAGCAGCUCAAGGCUGAAGAUUUUGUUGUUGUGUUGGAUGAAAACGGGAAGGAUGUCAUAUCUGAGCAGAUAGCUGAUCUCAUUGGGGAUGCUGGCAACACGGGAUCGUCAAGGCUCACAUUUUGUAUUGGCGGGCCAUAUGGUCUUGGAAUACAAGUACGAGAGCGAGCUGAUGCAACAAUUAGGCUAUCCUCACUGGUUUUGAACCACCAAGUCGCUUUAAUAGUUUUAAUGGAGCAGCUCUACAGGGCGUGGACAAUCAUCAAAGGACAGAAGUAUCAUCACUAG
rnacentral:rRNA from 1 species